rnacentral:tRNA from 1 species
AUUUAUUUAGUAUAAAUAACUAGUACAUUUAGCUUCCAACUAAAAAGAUUUAAAAUAAAAUAAAUA